rnacentral:lncRNA from 1 species
ACAGAUACUGAAUGCAACAACAGACCAACUAGGUCAACAGAUACGGAAUGCAACAACCGACCAACUAGGUCAACAGAUACGCAUGUAGAUAGAACUACUCUACUCCUACUCAGGAUACUAAGCAUGCAAACAACGAGUAGAGUAUAACGAAUAAACAAGGGUGCAAGGCUCAAUAUACUAUGCGAUAGUAACAACAGAAGAGUAAGGGUAAGAAACCGUCACCAAGCGUGCACCACUGUACCGACGUCGGAUCGAA